CUCGAGCUAGUGUUGUUAGGUUAUAUGACUUGUUUGCGUGAUUAGACGAGGUUUCGGGAGCCUCGGGUGUGUUUCGGGUGAGUUUUGAGCGAAUCAGGACAUUCCGGAACUUAGAAAAUGGAUGGUGGCAGAAUUUGUAGUGCUGGGCGCGCUGGCCUAGUGUUGGGCGAGUAAAGUGACAGCGGCCGCGAUCGUGAAGAUCUGCAGGUCGUCGGUCCAACUUUGGAAGCUCAUAUCUUUUGAUUUACAAGGAAUUUAGGGAUGAUUCAAA
rnacentral:lncRNA from 1 species